UACGUAGGGGGCAAGCGUUGUCCGGAAUCAUUGGGCGUAAAGCGCGUGUAGGCGGUUCAGUAAGUCUGCUGUGAAAGUCCAGGGCUCAACCCUGGGAUGCCGGUGGAUACUGCUGGGCUAGAGUACGGAAGAGGCGAGCGGAAUUCCCGGUGUAGCGGUGAAAUGCGCAGAUAUCGCUUGGAACGCCAACGGUGAAAACAGGUUGCUGGGGGUGUGCUGACGCUGAGACACGAAAGCCAGGGGAGCGAACGGG
rnacentral:rRNA from 1 species